AGUCUUGCCAGGGUGCUCUCAUUUGCCCUCAGAGGAGGGAGCAGAGGGCAGACUUGCACAGCUGAGCAGCCUCCCUGAAGAGGGAGGCAUGUUUCUCUGAGGCCUUGUGGGCAAAGGAUGGAGGAGAGAAAGCUGAGCUCAAUUAGGAAGGAUGCUAUUCAAAGACGCUCCCCACCUCUGCAUGGAUGGAUGGGAUGGGUGUGUACAUGCGGUGAGUGGAGCUGUGGGCCCAGCAAGCCUCUGCCCGGAGGGGCUGGCUCUCCGGUGAGCACCGAAGGCAGGUGAGCUCCCGUCACAAAAGGCACAUGACCUCAGCUGGGGAAGGAACCACUUAGAAUUCCGACUUCACUUUCAUCUUUCUCUUUCCUGCUCCCAGCUCCCCAGAACUCCACCCUGCUCGGGUAGCUGCUGAAGGAGUUCUGAGGUUGUCUCUUCCCCCAGGCCCUCUGGGGUACGGGCUUAAUUAAAAACCAGUCUAGUUUACCCCCUCAGUAGGGAACAGGGUAGGCAGGAUGUUGGCACCCAAGCAAGCCAAAACCCAAGUCGGCGCAGGAGACAUCUGCGAACUUCCUGUCCUGACCACUGGGCUCAGCUACAAGGCAUGCAAGACAGGCAGGACCCUCAGGGGAGGUGACAGCUGGCUGCAGACCUGGCAGGGGCUCUGGCAGGAAGUGUCUCUAGCAGCUGCCCUUAGGUGGGCAGCAGCAUCUUGCUUGUCCGAGGGAACUUCCUGUGACUUCCUGUUUGAAACAGGAAGUUGUUUUGGAGUCAGGAACAGGAUCUGGCCGACAAAGGGCAAGAUGGCAGCAGUGAGUAAGAGCUUAGUGUUCUGGCCAAAUGGGGCCCAGGGGACACCUCAUUCACUGUGAGAAUUGGAGCAAAAGCCCAGGCACUCAGAUUGAGCUGGGAAAAGUCUGGAGCUGAGAAGAUAGGUCAAGGCCCUAUGUGGGGGCUUCCUCAGGAACACUUGAGUCAUGAACACAGGCAUUAAUCCUCUCCUCCUGCACAGCUGGGGCUCUUACUACUGGGUCAGGUCUGAUUUCAAAGGGCGAUGGUCCUGGGAGAAGCUAAACAAGGUGGUUGAAGAUCUCCAGCCUCUGCAGAUGGACCUGACAUCUUCCACUUCACUGUAUGGGUAAUAAGGCGAAAAUCUCAGCUUGAACCUAUUAAUCGUCUGAUUUUCCCCUUCACAGCACCUGGUAUUGGCAAAACACUUAAAUGGCAUUGACUUUAUUCAUUCACUUUUUAAAUUAGACAGUUGCAUUUCCUCAUUCCCAUGCAGAAGAGCCCUUAGAAAAAUGAAGACGAGAAAAGCCAGCUAACACCUCCAGGCUGGGCACCUCCCCACCUCCUGGCCCUUGGCAGGCAGGGAUCACUGUGCAGUCUCUGCUUUCUUUCCUGCAGAGCUCAUAGGAGUUUACAGUACUCAGUGGGGCUCUGCAGGUCUUCCUCUCCAGUUGCUCAGUGUCUGCCAACCCCGUGUGAUUAACGUAAGAAGCCAGGGAGGAUGGACAGAAAGUAGUGCUGCAGGGAAGAAGGGACCAUGUAAACCAAAAAUGUCUGUCUUCAUUAUCUUUGCCACCACAAUGCUGAUCAACUGUGUCAGGUUUUAUUUCCCGCAGAUGGUCCCAACUGUAUCUCCCAUCCUACAUGCUCUUUUGAAAUGUGAUCUUGCUGUUUCCCCAUCAAGAGGUGACAUCUACAUCUUUACCUUCUUGAAUAUGGGAGGACUCCUUGGACCAAUAAAAUAUAGAGGAAGUGAUGCUGUACCAGUGUUGGCAUAGCCCUUGGCUGGCUUGGCCACUUCUUCUUCCAGCCGCUGGGAACCCAGAGGGCAUGUUGUGAGAAGCCCACGCCAGGCAGAGAGGUCACGUAGAGUCAAUAGCUCCAGCUGAGCCCCCAGAUGACAGCCAGCAUCAAGUGCCAGCCAUCCACGUGAGCCAUCAGACACCCAGUCUAGUCAAACCUUUAGAUGACUGCAGCCCCAGCUGACCUCUGACUGUAACCAUGUGAAAGACCCCCCCAAGUGGGAAUCAUCUUGCUGAGACUAGUUAAGGCAUAGACCCAGGGAACUCAUUAUUGGCAUAUAAUAAAUUGUUUUCAGCUGCUAAGUUUUGGGGUGCUUUGCUCCUUAGUAAUAGAUUGCUGGAACAGAAAUAGACCACCCAAAAAUGUGUGCCUUAAAGCAACCACCGUUUAUUAUUUCUCAUAAGUCUAGGGGCUCAUGUGUCUUCAGGCAGUUGGCUGGGGGCUGGCUGCUCUGUUGCAGCCUCAGCUGAGACACGUCAGUUCAGUACUAUGUGACGUGUCAGAGGCUCAUUCUGGUCUUGGGCCUGUAGCAGGGGUUAAGUAGACGAUACAAGCCUUCUUAAGACCUAAGCUUAUUGACACUACUGCAGCAUAGCUUGCAGUUAAGGCUUGGAUGCAAUCCCUGGCCCAGGAACUUCCACAUGCUGUGGGUGUGGCCAUAAGAUUAAAAAAAAAAAAAAAAAAA
rnacentral:lncRNA from 1 species